GGCUGAAGUAACUGCUACCAAAAUUGGAAUCUAAUUGAAUCGAGAGAACUCAGGGAGAAUUCGAGAUGAUGGUUAGGGUUUUUCUUGAUUUCGAUAGGAGAUGAAGAGUCCGAAGCAGAUUGAAGAAUCUCUGUUGCUGUUAAAUAUCAGUGUUGAAUGAAGUUAUUCUGAUGACGAGAUAUCAGCUAAGGAAAGAGCUAUUUCUAUUGAUUCAUGGUGAUGAGCUGAAGAGAUUCAAUGGAAGUACUAGAGUCUUGUAUGAAUUAGAAGACAUGGGUUCUCAUCAGAUUUGAUUUGCAGCAAGAAAAAUGAGACGAAUUCCUGAUGGUUAUGGAUGUUAGGGUUUGAGUUGAUGUUCUGAUUUUAAAAAUUAGGGUUGAAAUUCAAAAGUUUGAUGGGACUGGAAUCAGAGAAUGGUUGAGUAUUUAAGAAAGAGAAGAAUUGUGAUUGGGUAUCUGAAUUUAGAUAAUGAACUAGUAAAUCAAGAUGGAGUUCAUCUGUGAAGCACCAGUAAAUUCUGCACACAGGUUGUUUGUAGAAAGGCUUAAUCCAAUUACAGGAAGAAGAUGAACUUCUGGAAGAGAGGUUAUGAAGCUACAUAAGUAUCGACAGUAUUGGUGUUGUUAGUUGUUGUUGCUGGUGGAUUGACUAGGUUUGAAGUGUUGAGCAGUUGAGAAAGAUAAGAAUUUUGAUUGGGUAUAGUUGCAAAUUCACAUCUUUUGAGUCAAUUGAUGUGAAUUUUACUGGUCAGAGUGGGAACCCAUCUGUAACCCUUGGUUUCAAAAAUUUUGGUCUCUAUAUGAUUUUCCUUGAUCAAGUGGGCAAUCUAUCUGCAAGUAAUCUCAUUCAAGGUUUCACCAUCUUAUUUCCAUGAUCAAGUAGGUAAUCUAAAGUAAAUAUUAUCAGAGCUAUGGUUAUUGGCUCUCGUAUUACUGGAUUAACAACAACACUGUACGGGAAGCUCCACAUAUCCGCAAUGGAACAAUAGAUAACUAGAAGAGGUGCAACUAUGGAUUACAAUUUGAACCCAUUCUAGGAAGCAUCUUUGGUCAUCACAUAAAUCUCAGCAAAAGAGUGGAGGACAAGAACAAAGGUCUGCAAUGUAAUGAAGUAGUGUUCAGCUGAGGCAGAGAAAAUUUUGUUGGUUGCAGUGUGGGGCUGAUGAAUGAAUAUGUGUUUACAAGGAAUGGUGGUUGAAUGGGGAUUGAUUUAGCACUUGAGCUCAAUCGAAGCUGGGAGUUGCGGGUGGUGUUUGAGUUUUGGAAGGAGGCUGUGUGAGAUGCAGGGAUUAUGAUAUUGAGGAAUUAGCGGAACUGAGAAGGAUCAUUGGGUUCUGGAUUGUGUGAACUAGAACAGCUGCUGCUAUGGUUUAUGGGCUGGAGUGUUGUUAGCUGCUUCAGAUGGCGGGGUUGUUUCGUUGGUUAAUAGCAGUUUAGAAGAACGUUGCAGGCUUGCAAGUCUGGUGCAGUGGAGGUUAUAAUGGCUUUGUGCAACUGUGACUAGAUGAAUAUAUAGGUUUACAAGAAGAUGGUGGAUGCUCAUUGAUGGCUAUGGCAAUGAGGAGAUGCAUCGUAGUUAGGGAGUUUUGUGUUGUUGUUCUGAGCUAGUGUAUGUUUAGAUGCAGGCGUGGAUGCAUAUGUUAUAGUUGAGAUUAAUUGGAUGGAGGAUACAGAGAUGAGAUGGUGCAGGAA